rnacentral:rRNA from 1 species
CCUACGGGAGGCAGCAGUCGAGAAUCAUUCACAAUGGGGGAAACCCUGAUGGUGCGACGCCGCGUGGGGGAAUGAAGGUCUUCGGAUUGUAAACCCCUGUCAUGUGGGAGCAAAUUAAAAAGAUAGUACCACAAGAGGAUGAGACGGCUAACUCUGUGCCAGCAGCCGCGGUAAUACAGAGGUCUCAAGCGUUGUUCGGAAUCACUGGGCGUAACGCGUGCGUAGGCUGUUUCGUAAGUCGUGUGUGAAAGGCGCGGGCUCAACCCGCGGACGGCACAUGAUACUGCGAGACUAGAGUAAUGGAGGGGGAACCGGAAUUCUCGGUGUAGCAGUGAAAUGCGUAGAUAUCGAGAGGAACACUCGUGGCGAAGGCGGGUUCCUGGACAUUAACUGACGCUGAGGCACGAAGGCCAGGGGAGCGAAAGGGAUUAGAUACCCGAGUAGUC